UACAGUCCUAUACGAUCAUCUGAAGGUCC
rnacentral:piRNA from 1 species